rnacentral:lncRNA from 1 species
UGCCAUGGGAAAAUAAAACGAGAAGUCAGCAGUCUGCUACCCAGAAGGGCGCCCUCACUGAAACCCGACAUGCUGGCACCUUAAUCUCGGACUUCAGUCUCCAGAACUAAUCUACCAAUACUGAAGCAGAAUUUCUGUGAUAUAGUCACAGUGAAAGAAACACAAAUGGAGACAAGAGAAAGGUCUUUUCCACUCCGUAUGCCUGGAAACUAGCUUAGUGCUUGUUACAUUGUGGGGGCUGAAUAAACACUUGUUGAGGGGCUGGCCCCGUGGCCAAGUGGUUAAGUUCGCGUGCUCCGCUGCAGGUGGCCCAUUGUUUCAUUGGUUCGAGUCCUGGGCGUGGACAUGGCACUGCUCAUCAAAAUCAUGCUGAGGCAGCGUCCCACAUGCCACAACUAGAAGGACCCACAAUGAAGAAUAUACAACUAUGUACUGGGGGGUUUUGGGGAGAAAAAGGAAAAAAAUAAAAUCUUAAAAAAAAAUAAAUGCUUGUUGAAGAAUGAAUGAUUGAACAAGAGAACAACUCAUUGAAUAUUUCAAAUACU